CAGAGAGAAGCAAGUUAGGAGCUUCCAAUAUCCUUCUCUCUUAGGAGACUAAGCAGCUCGGCUCAUUGUCUCCCAGCGAGAGGUCAGUGCCUCUCUGGUGUGCACUGUUUGCUCCAUCCCUUAGGACAUUCUCCUCCGGCCAGGUCCUUGCUCCCUGCCCCGGCUUAAUUCUCCAAAGCAAACUCUGCAGCUGCUCAAAUCGAUGACAUAUUACGGACUCAAGAAGGCAAAUAACAGCGAUGGCUUUUAUUUAUAAUCAUGACCACCGGGAUGGGCUGAUGGGCUCAGAAGACUGAGCUGAAACAUUUUUUUUUUAAUCUUUUCAAAAUCCCUUUGAGGCAAGGAGUGGUAAAUACUUUCACCCUCAGCUCACCGAGGAAAUAAGUGUAAUUGAAGAGGAUUAGUGGAGAAGGGGGUUGGGGGAAGAAAGCCUCUGGAAUCCUUUUUUUGCUGCAUUAAAAGGUCACAAAGCCCUGUGUGCUCUCCCCCUCCCGAGGGUCUGAACCAUGUGGCCCCUGAGCCCCUGAAAAGUGGCUGCUGUGAACCAACGUGUUCUCUAAAUAGAAAGUCGAGACGGGGUUUCAAAGUCUUCGUACAAACAAAAUUAAAAUAUCUCAUUAAUAAUAUCUUCGAACGGAAUACCACCUGGUGUGCUAGGCAUUUGUGUCUGUGGUUUUUUUGAUUAUCUGACUUGUGACUCCUUAGAAGCUGGUCUCCCAAAGGACAGCAACGAAUGCAAAUCCCCAUGAGACGCCACACGAAACAAGAGGGGUCAGGGUCAAGCACGUUGG
rnacentral:lncRNA from 1 species